AGAGUUUGAUCAUGGCUCAGGACGAACGCUGGCGGCGUGCCUAACACAUGCAAGUCGAACGGAGAAUUUCAAUAAGCUUGCUUAGCGAAAUUUUUAGUGGCGGACGGGUGAGUAACGCGUGGGUAACCUACCCAUAAACCCGGGACAACCCUUGGAAACGAGGGCUAAUACCGGAUAAUCUUAAGUCUUGGCAUCAAGGUUUAAGGAAAGGUGGCCUCUGAAGAUGCUACCGAUUAUGGAUGGACCCGCGUCUGAUUAGCUAGUUGGUGGGGUAAAGGCCUACCAAGGCGACGAUCAGUAGCCGGCCUGAGAGGGUGAACGGCCACACUGGGACUGAGACACGGCCCAGACUCCUACGGGAGGCAGCAGUGGGGAAUCUUCCGCAAUGGACGAAAGUCUGACGGAGCAACGCCGCGUGUAUGAUGAAGGUCUUCGGAUUGUAAAGUACUGUCUUUGGGGAAGAAUGACGGAUUUGAAAAUAUUGAGUUCGUAUGACGGUACCCAAGGAGGAAGCCCCGGCUAACUACGUGCCAGCAGCCGCGGUAAUACGUAGGGGGCAAGCGUUGUCCGGAAUUAUUGGGCGUAAAGGGCGCGUAGGCGGAUGUUUAAGUCCGGUGUGAAAGAUCAGGGCUCAACCCUGAGAGUGCAUCGGAAACUGGGCAUCUUGAGGACAGGAGAGGAAAGUGGAAUUCCACGUGUAGCGGUGAAAUGCGUAGAUAUGUGGAGGAACACCAGUGGCGAAGGCGACUUUCUGGACUGUAACUGACGCUGAGGCGCGAA
rnacentral:rRNA from 1 species